rnacentral:rRNA from 1 species
UAAUACGGAAGAUCCAAGCGUUAUCCGGAUUUAUUGGGUUUAAAGGGAGCGUAGGCGGACUUUUAAGUCAGUUGUGAAAUUUUGUGGCUCAACCAUGAAACUGCAGUUGAAACUGGAAGUCUUGAGUGUACAUAAGGAUGGUGGAAUUCGUGGUGUAGCGGUGAAAUGCUUAGAUAUCACGAAGAACUCCGAUUGCGAAGGCAGCUAUCUGGGGUACAACUGACGCUGAGGCUCGAAAGUGUGGGUAUCAAACAGG